CCUACGGGGGGCUGCAGUGGGGAAUAUUGGACAAUGGGGGCAACCCUGAUCCAGCCAUGCCGCGUGUGUGAAGAAGGCCCUCGGGUUGUAAAGCACUUUCAGUGAGGAAGAACGCCUGGUGGUUAAUACCCAUCAGGAAAGACAUCACUCACAGAAGAAGCACCGGCUAACUCCGUGCCAGCAGCCGCGGUAAUACGGAGGGUGCGAGCGUUAAUCGGAAUUACUGGGCGUAAAGCGCGCGUAGGUGGCUUGAUAAGCCGGUUGUGAAAGCCCCGGGCUCAACCUGGGAACGGCAUCUGGAACUGUCAAGCUAGAGUGCAGGAGAGGAAGGUAGAAUUCCCGGUGUAGCGGUGAAAUGCGUAGAGAUCGGGAGGAAUACCAGUGGCGAAGGCGGCCUUCUGGACUGACACUGACACUGAGGUGCGAAAGCGUGGGUAGCAAACAGGAUUAGAUACCCCAGUAGUC
rnacentral:rRNA from 1 species